GGGGACUUAGCUCAGCUGGGAGAGCGCCUGCUUUGCACGCAGGAGGUCAGCGGUUCGAUCCCGCUAGUCUCCACCA
rnacentral:tRNA from 1 species